rnacentral:lncRNA from 13 species
UCUUUUUCAUAGUUGUCACUGGACAACUACUUUGUACCCUUUAAAACUUCUCAAGAACUCUCUUCCUGACAGGCAGGCCUUCUACACAAGCCACAGAUGAGGGGGAAAUCUCACUCCACUGUGUCCAGGAGCCCCUGUGCUCACCUCUGCUGUAUUCAUUCCACUGUGUUGAACUGUGCCUAGCCCAUUGGCUUGGUGUAUCUGGGCUGCCUCACAAAAUACCACCAACUAGAUGGCUUACAAACAACCAAAAUUUAUCUCUCACAGUUCUGGAGGCUGGGAGGUUCAAGAUCAAGAUACUGGAAGAUUCAGACUCUGUGAAAAUGUGGGAGAAACAAAGUGGAUGUGCUGAUGCUGCAUAGUAAAAUGGGUGCACAUUUGUCAUGAUUUUCUGCUGUCCAGCAUGUAAAGCCUCCUGUGUAUGGAAAAUCUACCUGAAUCUUUGGCUGCUGAUUUUAUUUCUGGCAACAAUACAAAACCAAACGACCAAGAGGAUUAAAAAAGAAAAAAAACAAAACAGUCUGCACAGGACAAUUCCAGGGCCUUUGGGAUCUGCAUCUUUU